rnacentral:misc_RNA from 1 species
CACUGAUACUUCCAUUGGAGAUCUCUCUGGUGUUCACAUUGUCACUGGUGCUCAGCUUGGUGUUUGGGAUUUUGGAGCCAAAAAUGUGUUGCACCUCAAACUCCUGUUCUCUAAAGUUCCAGGUUGUACAAUAAGACGGUCUGUAUGGGACCAUAGCCCCUCCAAUCCUUAUGCACAGCAACCCAAUGGAGCAUCAUCAUCAAUAUCAAAUGAGAAAACCCCCAGUGAUAAGAAGGAAGAUAGUUCAAGCAAUGUUGGGAAACUGGCAAAAAUCGUUGACGUAAGCGAAAUGUCAAAGGGACCGCAAGAUAUUCCAGGUCAUUGGUUGGUAACAGGAGCCAAGCUUGGGGUGGACAAGGGAAGGAUUGUUUUACGUGUGAAGUACUCCUUAUUGAAUUAUUGAUAAUUGCUUCUAUAUUUUUAGGAUUACCAUAUUUUUUUUUCCACUUGUAUGCAUAGUUCAGGCAUUCUUUGCACAGGAUUCCUAGUUCUUUUGUUUCUCUGUACAUUGAGUUCUUUUUGUUUGUUGGUUUUAGCC